rnacentral:lncRNA from 1 species
GGGAGAGUUGUAACAACCCAUUUUUCAGUAGUGUCAAAAACUGUGGUCUUCGGGCCACCAAAUCUGAUGAGUAAGUUUGUAAAUAUUAUUCUAGCGUUUUAGUGUUUUUCUUUUUUCUCCAAGAUUCUGGCGAUUCUGUUUCUUGCUCUCGUGUUCGUGUGUGUCUGCCUUGGUUUUCAAUGGCAGUAGCGGUGGGUUG